rnacentral:rRNA from 1 species
CCACGCUCCAAUAGCGUAUAUUAAAGUUGUUUGCAGUUAAAAAGCUGCGUAGUUGAAUUUCGGGGUCAGAAAGUCGGUCGAACCAAUGGUAUGAACUGGUUUUAACAUGAUUCCUCCCUCNNUGAAGAACUGUAAGGCCAUUAAAUUUGGUGUUGCAGGGAUCAGGACUGUUAUCUUUGAAAAAAUUAGAGUGUUUAAAGCAGGCUUUAGCUUGAAUACAUUAGCAUGGAAUAAUGAAAUAGGCCGUGUGAUCCUAUUUUGUUGGUUUCUAGGAUUGACGUAAUGAUUAAUAGGGAUAGCUGGGGGCAUUAGUAUUCAAUUGUCAGAGGUGAAAUUCUUGGAUUUAUUGAAGACUAACUACUGCGAAAGCAUUUGCCAAGGAUGUUUUCAUUAAUCAAGAACGAAAGUUAGGGGAUCGAAGACGAUCAGAUACCGUCGUAGUCUUAACCAUAAACUAUGCCGACUAGGGUANAAAGGGGNUGUUAAUUUUUUAAUGACUCA